UUUUUUUUUUUUUUUUUUUUUUUUGCUUGUGCUUAUUAAAUAGCAAGGGUGUUUACUCAGGAUUUGGGGAUCAGUUGUAGCCAUGUUGAAUUUGGCAAACUGAGCUGUGUGCCCUGAAAGCCCUCUUUUUAUUUCUUCAUUUCCAUAUUGUCUGACUUACUUCACCUAGGAAUACCUGAGUUAUCCAGUCCAGUGUUCCCUGAUGAGAGUGGAAGAUUUUCCUGGAGAGGCAGCUGUGCAUGGCCAGGUCAUCUGUCAGGAUGUUGUGGUGGUGUGUGAUCAGAGCAGAGGGCCUUUCUUUUCCUGUACUGUGCUCUACUUCCUUAUGCAUGCUUGGUUUCAAAGAUGACCGCCACUUUAAAAGAAAGAUUUCCUCACAGCUCUCCAGAGAACUAUCAUACUAAGGUGAUAGGAAAGGCUUCUCGGAUACAAGCCAACAAGUCAGUUUUCUGAUUACAGAAACUCCUCUCACAGGUUAUGUUUGGAAAGGCUGUUCUCCAUUCCACUUAUAAAUUGAAAGUGAUAAGCUACUGUCUUGUGAUCUUGCAGGGCCAGUGGUUGACUCAUCUCUGAAAGGUAACUUCGUUCAUAUCUAUGUAUUUUCAAACCUGGAAGCUUGUAAAUUGGAAGUUUCAGUAUUAGCUUUAUUAUUCUUUCUUGGUGAGGAAUAGAAAUGGCAGCAAAAAGAAAGCCAACAAUCUGAAAACUCCAGUCUCCUCUAACACUGGCUUUGUUUUAAAUCAAGAUGGGAAGAGAUACAUGAGGGGUGGGAGGGAAGAUAUGCCGGCUGCCCUUUCUUAUCUCAGUGACGUAGAUGCCUCGGGAUUAUAGGCACGCGGAUCACUGAACCUCUUUUUUGUCAUUCUUCCUAUGACAUUUGUGGCAGAACUUUUUAGUUGAUUCUGUUCACAUGAAAUGUGACAAGCAUUUUUACACCAUGAGACAGUUUACUACCCACAUGCCACACCCAUUGUCUGUCUCAUCAGCCAGCCCCGUAACUGCACCCAGAGGGGUGCAGCUGCAGGGGAGCUGUGCCUUUCUCCUCUCCUGACACUCCUUUCACGUGGCAGGUUUGCAGGUUGGUUGGCCCUGGUCUGGACAGCUGUGUCCGUGCCUGCUCGGCUGCCCUCCAGUUGGUCGGUGUGGCUGGCGUGGGCAUGUACCCCCCGACUCGCACUUGAGAAGUCUUGGGAUGCCGGCUCCCUCGACUCCAUUUUCAUUUUAAGUAAGAGUGGCUCUGUAUAGCCAUAAUUAACUCUCAAAUUCACAUUGGUGUGCUGUGAUCAAAUGAAGGUUGGACUGAAUCUUUUCAAACUGUAACCAUGGUAAUUGAGGGGGGUGGCAUAGAAUGAAUAUAUAAAAAUAUAAUGGCAAUUGUUCUGAAUGACUGAGUGUCCUCCUGACAUGUAAUUAGCUGUUUUAGCAGGAUGUAGAUUGGCAUGGUCAUAAUUAAAAGAAUUUCUGUCUUUUA
rnacentral:lncRNA from 10 species